AACAAAUGCUACGUGGCAAUAACUUUGGCUUAAUAGCUUUUAUGUGUUAACAAGUGAAGAAGAGAAGAAAUAUUACUCCCAUUUGACCGAGGGGGAACCGAGGCACAAGAGUGCUGCCCCUAGCAUCUUCUCUAUCUCUGGCACGACUCCAGCAAGAAGACUCCUCUUCAUU